GAUUAACGCUGGCGGCGUGCCUAACACAUGCAAGUCGAACGAGGUAGCAAUACCUAGUGGCAGACGGGUGAGUAACGCGUGGUCAACCUACCGUUGAGUGGGGGAUAACUAGCCGAAAGGUUAGCUAAUACCGCAUACGUCUCCGAGGGGCAUCCCUUGGCGAUAAAAGGAGCAAUCCGCUCGAUGACGGGACCGCGUCCCAUUAGCUAGAUGGCGGGUAACGCCUACCAUGGCACCGAUGGGUAGCUGGUUUGAGAGAGCGACCAGCCACACUGGGACUGAGAAACGGCCCAGACUCCUACGGGAGGCAGCAGUGAGGAAUUUUCCGCAAUGGGCGCAAGCCUGACGGAGCGACGCCGCGUGUGGGAAGAAGG
rnacentral:rRNA from 1 species